UCCGUCUUGACGACGGCAGUCUCUCUGGAGUGCCCAACUUAAUGAUGGCAACCAAAGACAAGGGUUGCGCUCGUUGCGGGACUUAACCCAACAUUUCACAACACGAGCUGACGACAGCCAUGCAGCACCUGUCUCCUCUGUCUCUUGCGAGCCUAUUCCUAUCUCUAGGUAUAUUCAAAGGGAUGUCAAACCCAGGUAAGGUUCUUCGCGUUGCUUCGAAUUAAACCACAUGAUCCACCGCUUGUGCGGGCCCCCGUCAAUUCCUUUGAGUUUUAGUCUUGCGACCGUACUUCCCAGGCGGGAUGCUUAUCGUGUUAACUUCGACACAGUAGGGGUCAAGUCCCACUACGUCUAGCAUCCAUCGUUUACAGCGUGGACUAC
rnacentral:misc_RNA from 1 species